AGUCUUUAUUCCAACGCUGUUGCUGUAGGAGAUGCAUUUGAAGCUCUGCGGCACAUCCUCUUGGCCUGUCUCUGGUUUUUAGCUGCAUCUGAGGAUCCUCACAGCUGUGAUCUUGCCUCAUCGCAGUUGCCAACACUGAGGGGCUGCCUUCACCCCAUUUGCUAAUUCCCCAAGUUCCUCUUUCGGGCAUGUUCCUGUCCCUCCGUGUUCCCGUGGCCGCGUGGAAAUGGACCGAGGCCCACAGGGUGACUCAGAGGGGAAGCCCCUGCGCUGCGAGGCUCCCAGCAGCUCCUGGAUUGCGUAAGGGCUAUUUUUGAGGAGAUUGCAGACGAUCUGAUGAAUCAUAGCAAACACACAUGGCUCCGGCGGGGGACAGCCCUUCCUCAUGUUGCUGUGGAAAGUGGAGCUUCUCAAAAUGAAUCAGCAGAGCCUGAACCCCAGGUGUGUGAUUUCCCAGCUUCCCUUGGAGAAAUGUCACUGCCAUGAUUGUGUUACAGAGGACCUCCAUCUAGCCAGCACGCUCACACUCCUUCCCUGGAUCGGUUUGAUGAAGCAGGCCUCCAUGUUGUAAACUGUCUCAUGGAGAGGCCCAACUGGCAAGGAACUGAGGAAAGCCUCUGGCCAACAGCCAGUGAGGAGCUGAAUCCUGCCAACAACACUGAGAAAGUUUGGAAGUGGAUCCUGCCCCAGUUGAACCUUCAGAUGGCUGUGGUCUCAGCUGACAUCUUGAUUGUAGCUUUGUAAGAGACUUUGACCCAGAGGACUCAGGAGUUUCCCUGCACAAGCUCUUUUUUUGCCUGCUGCCAUCCACGUAAGAUGUGACUUGCUCCUCCUUGUCUUCCACCAUGAUUGUGAGGCCUCCCCAGCCACAUGGAACUGUGAGUACAAUUAAAUCUCUCUCUCUCUCUUUUCUUUUUGUAAAUGUCACAGUCUUGGGUACGUCUCUAUCAGCAGCAUGAAAACAGACUAAUACAGACUUGAUUUCGGAAAUGACAUCUCAUAACUUUUGCCCUGUUCUGUUUGUUAGAAACAAGUCACCAGGCCAACAGUCAACAGGAGGGAAUUACACAAGGGCAUGAAUACCAGGAUGCCAGGAUCACUGGAGACCGCUUUAGAGACUGCCUCCCACAGGGCAUAAUAAUAGCUACCUUAAAGGGUUGUUGUGGGGAUAAAACAUGACAAUAUAUAUGAAAACAGCAGCUUUGAAUAUUCCAAAGCACUAGGUAAACAUCAGUUAUUUUUGUAUUAUGAAUCAUCUAUUACAUACAAUAUUAAUGAUGCUGUUUAACUUUUUAGUAAUAAAUACAACUAUUGGCAGAGAAGACAAAUUAUAGCCCAUCAGAGCUACCUAGACUUCAGAAACCACCUACUACAACCCCCUCAUUUUGCAAA
rnacentral:lncRNA from 1 species